GCUUCCGUGGCGCAGUCGGUAGCGCGCAUCCUUGGUAAGGAUGAGGUCUCGGGUUCAAGUCCCGUCGGAAGCU
rnacentral:tRNA from 1 species